UCCUGCGUGGUGUAACGGUAACACAUCGGCUUGUCACGCCGGGAUCCUGGGUUCAACUCCCAGCGCAGGAG